CAAUAGCGUAUAUUAAAGUUGUUGCAGUUAAAAAGCUCGUAGUUGGAUUUCUGCUGAGGACGAUCGGUCCGCCCACUGGGUGAGUAUCUGGCUCGGCCUUGGCAUCUUCUUGGAGAACGUUGCUGCACUUGACUGUGUGGUGCGGUAUCCGGGACUUUUACUUUGAGGAAAUUAGAGUGUUUCAAGCAGGCGCACGCCUUGAAUACAUUAGCAUGGAAUAAUAAGAUAGGACCUUGGUUCUAUUUUGUUGGUUUCUAGAGCUGAGGUAAUGAUUAAUAGGGAUAGUUGGGGGCAUUCGUAUUUAACUGUCAGAGGUGAAAUUCUUGGAUUUGUUAAAGACGGACUACUGCGAAANCANNNGCCAAGGAUGUUUUCAUNGA
rnacentral:rRNA from 1 species